GUAGACUUUAUGAUCUCCUAUCACAAGAAGUGAAAUCCAUAAGCUAUUUCAUAUAAAAAUCUUUUAAAAAAAAUUUAGUCAGGAAAGCUAAUUCACAUCCUUUUCUUGGAGUCAUUGUCUUACAUCAUCUUGUUGUAGGUUCUGGGAUCAUCUCUAUGCUCUCCAUCUUCUAUGAGAAAUGAUUUUUUUUACAUCCUCUGUUAAGUAUACUCCAGUACCUUUUGAGAGAAUUGGAGAUCCUACUAUAUAUUUG
rnacentral:lncRNA from 1 species